rnacentral:lncRNA from 1 species
GCGCCGCUUCAGCGCGGGGCUGCCCCGCUGGGAGCGCAGCCCGGCCUCGGCUCUCUCUGGGCGCCGCCUGCCUGGUGCAGCGGGGCUGCCCCGGGGGAGUCUUAGACGAUCGCAUUGGCACUGACGCCCUCCCCCAUCCCAUUUUCUUUUUCCUAAUUACCGCAUGGGAACACCGAAAUGUGCGUGAGCUUACAUGGCUCUAAAGGAGGCGUAGGGAAGGGAUGUCCUUUUCAACCUCGGUCACGCUGUAGGUUAAAAACCGACCAAAAAAAAAAAAGAAACAAAACCUGCUUCAGCUGCAUCUUUGCUUUUUAACCAUCUGAGCAUUGAUUUAUUUGGGAUUUCGAGAUCUGUCGGCUGCCAGCAAGCAGCACGUACCGUUACCAGUGGGUUUAUGUCUCCAGUCGACAUCUCGUGAAGCCGCAGCUCACGCAGCGCUGUCCCCACUACCAGCUGGAGAGGACAAAGAACUUUCUGCGAUUUGGAACUGCUGUGCAGCGCUGCUCCCACCCAUCUGCGGGCUGUGGGGCUGCAGCUGCCCACCCCCAGCUGCCGUGUGGGCACAGCAGUGGUGCAUCCCUCCAUUCUCCCUUCCCGGAGGAGACUCGGUGAGCCCACGCCGUGCAUUUCCAUGGGGUGGUGCUUCCUUGCCCUGUGUGUGGUGCUAAGCCCCUCUGCAAAAUAGGGACUUCCUCAGCAUCAGCAGGAUAGAGAUGGAGCUGUAGGGCAGUAGAAGAGCUUACACUGAGGGAAGAUGGUUCUUGUUUUACAGACCCAUUUAGAGACUUUAACAAAGCCGUUUUGCUUUCGGUGAUGGUUGCGUGCAGAGAUGUCGUAGUGAAACUCAGAGAGAAUUGGGGCCAGCGUCUUUUGUUAGACGAGAUGUGCUAUAUUAAUACCAUCCUGCCCUCUGUCACAGCAUUGCUUCCUUGGGACUGCAUCUCUGUUCUUAACCCCAAUUUCUCUAGUGAUCGCUUUGCUUUGGUGUCUUUGGUAAAGGUGAGCUGGUUGCCGUGCUGUAAGAUGCUUGUCUGCCCGGGGUGGCAGUGGGCAUGGGCUGCCCUGGGUUGUUCCACAACUGGCAUCUGUGGGUGAUACUGAAAAUGCUCAGGCUGAAUCCUGUUACUUGUCCUGGGCAGGGACAGCAGGCCACGUCUUUCUGAGUCUGGUGAUGUGGGCCAGGAGACCAGAGAGCCUCCAGACUGCAAUGUGUGUACGUUAUCCAUUGAGAAAUGGGAUGUGCAGAGAUAAGGGUGAGAGCUGGUGUCAGGCAGACAGGUAGGGACAGAAAGUAAUGAAGCAGAGAAGGUGAAGUGAGAAUGGAAAGAAUGGAGAAUGAACAAAAGAUGGGGAAUCUCACAGUGCUGUGUUCCCACAUGGUCGUGCUGCUGAUGUGGUACAGCUGGGAUAAGCAGCAGGUCAGGAGCCCUGAUGGUUGUGGUCGCUUCUCAGCUGAGCACGUUCCUUUCCCUGAAAUCCUGAGCUGGAGCCAUGGUAAGAGAGUCACUCAGUGAGGGGAUGCAGAUAACAGAGGCUGGGGUGGGUCUGAGGGAUAGCAGGUGGAAAUUCUGUGUCAGCCAGUUUAUUCACAUGUUUGGAAACUAGCUGGGUUUUCUUUUGUUCGUGGGAGUAUUUCUUUCAGAAAUUGACCCAUCAAUGGGAGCUUUUUUUUCUCCCUGUUGGCAAAAAACAAACAAACAACAACAACAAAAAAAAAAAAACAGAUUUUCUUCUGUUAAUGAGGCUCACCUGGAUGCCAGAACAGCAGCCACAGCCCCGGGCUGAUAGCUUGCCCCAGGUGCGACAGGCUCAUGUCAUUAAAGCUGGGUUCCUGGUGCAGAAGAGCUUGCACUGCUGUGACUAAGCUGUGACCAUGCAAAAAAUCAGCCCCAGAACAGACAGGGAGCAUUGGCAGUGCAUUUUCUCUUGGUCUUUGUAAGGAGCUUUGUCCCCUGUGGGUCGUCUCUUGGCUGGAUCCUGGGUGAGAGCUCCACAAAGCCAACCCAUAGCCUGGGUCUGGGCCAGCAUUUGCCACUUACUGAGGUAUCCAGAUCCUUGAGCUGAGGUUGUUUACUGUCAGAUCUCAAAUGGCGCUGAAUCUGAUGCUCAGAAAGAUCAGGUCUGUGCUCUGUGCCUUCCCCAGGGCUGGUGUGUGGGCUGGCAGGAAAAUCUCCAGUGCAAAAGUAGAGUUUCCGUUGAGUUCUCCUAGAUGGGGUGUUGAGGCCAUGUCUCAGGCCGAGGAGCAGGGCCGUGGUGCUCUGGCCUGGAUGGCUGGGAGUGUGGAAAAGAUGCUAAUGUCGAAACUGAAAACGAGAGUGAUGAAAAAACCACUGUGGCUGCUUCUCACUCAUGCAGCUCCUGUUUGUCGAAAGGCUCCUUGCAUUAACUGUGUCAUUAAAGGACCUUAGUUUGCAAGGAAAGGUUGUUCUGAGUAAGAAAAAUACUGAAGUUGCAAAAACAUCUUCCAUCUGUAAUGGAUGAGGCCGUGGUGGCUGCGUUUGUGAGACCCGAUGGCGGGGUUGGAGUCCCCGCAGUGCUGUUACCUGCAGCAUGGGGUGCUGUGCUGUCACUCUGGUGCAUGGAGGUUGGGCUCCCAGGGGCCGAUUUGCAGCGUGGUUGUUUGGGUGCAUUACAGACAUGCCUUUUUAAUUUUUUUUUCCCCCUAAACGAGUCUUUGUCUCAGGCAAUCUUCCCUCGCAUCACGAGAUGAAUGGUUAUCUCAGAGCACAACAAGACCUUGAGUAUUUCUCCCUUUGUUCCAUUUCUCUAUGACUUAGCGCUGUGUUUCCACUGAGUGAGGUUCAUUUUGCAGCGCAGGAGGACAGUGUGUCUCUGAGGACAUAAGUAGGAAUCCCAUCAAAGCAGUACUGCAGUUCAAACCCUCCAGCAGUUCAUGUGUUUUUUGUUUUUUUUUUUAACAUCAUUUCCAUCUUUGUUAUUUGGGAUGGAUUACUGGAGCCUGGAUCCUCAAGGGACAAUGGGCAAGAUCAGCCUCUCAGUACAUGGGGCUUGCGUGGGAUGGGGUGGAGAAGGAGCAGAGGUUGAGUGAUAGAGGGGAGUGUCAUAUCAGAGGGGUUUGCGCUCUGAAAUGUGGUGGGUUUGGUGUUUUGGUGCUGUGGUACGUAUCAGAGCCUGAGGAGGGGGGUGUGAGCUGAGGUGGGUUGCAAACACCCUUCUGCAGCCCCAGCACUGUGUGAUUUGUGGAGCAGGUGAGGUUUUUCCAUCCCCUUGAUUUCCUGAAGUAAGGGUGGUGAGUAGAGGAGAACAGCUGAGCGCCAGGGAUCGCUUGAUUUGCUCUGGAUUGAGGAGGGCAUCGAGAGGGUUGGAUCUCCAGCCUCUUAUUCCCAAUCCACUCACUGGCCUAAAAACAGCGAUUUGAAGGCAGGUGAUGAGCCAUUGGGCCCCAUCAUCCACACUGACAUCCCAUCCCUCUGCGGAGCACGGGGCUGUGUGCUGGAGCUCGUGCUGUCUCUUUGCCCCCACCACCUCCCACUGGAAAGCUGUUCCGGAGCUCGCUGCUCCGAUGCCGUCAAGCGGUCUUUUCGUUCUCAAGCUAAAAGAGGAAACUUGUUCCCGCACCUCCAUUGUCCUCCAGCUGAAAUAGUUCUUUUUCUUCCCAGGAAUUUACCAGCUCUUCUACCUUGGCAUAAGCAGAGCAUAGGGCAGGGUGUGGGGGGGACUCCCGUGGCAGCGUGCUUAGCUUGAUGGCACCUUGUGCAGGGAAAAGGACCUUCUGAAACAGGGGGCAUUGAGAGGGGCAGCUGUGUCCGCCCGCUCCUGCUGGAGCCUGACAGCUCAAUCCAAAGCCUUGGCAAGUUUAAUGCCUUCACUGAAAAAUGUUCCUGCUUAGAGAGGAGUGCUGGUGGGAGGCUGUUUGGCUUCAGUUUUAGUGUCUUUUAUUGUUAUUUUUAAACACGCAUGACCGGGGCCUGCUAACUAACCUCCUAGUCUUUUCCCAAAGUAAACAGCAACAGAACUGCAGUGCUUUGCACGAGGUUCUCCUCAGUGGGGUAUUUUGCAAGCCAACAGCAGUGAGUGGCAGCAGAAAGGCCUUUGCUUAUGUUGAUUACAUGGAAAUCCCUGUGCUUGCAUCUAUCACAGGACAGUUACCUUUUUUGUUCAGGGUGAGAAGAGGCUCUGCCUUCCUGGGGAAGUCCUCCUCUCUCCUCUGGUUGCUCCUUAUCACCUCAGACAGGAGAAGUUCUGUUUCCUCCAUGUCCCUUCUUAUGCUCAGUGAUGUUGGGUUGAAGCUGCGGCUGGCUUGCUGUGUGCUGGGUUUCUCUGGGCCUUGUCAUAACAGCCAGGGCUGGUUUCUGAGUUAAGCCGUGUGGCCUGAGUGUUUCACUUUUGCUUUGGAUGCUUCUCUGAGCUCUGGCUGUGCCUUCCCUUUCAGAUGAACGACAUGUGAGGAAGUCACCCCCAGUGUCCUUCUCUGGAGUUUAGCUUUAUUCCUCUAUUUAUUUAUCUUAAAUGAAGCUGUAUCAGGUUUUCAUUUUUAAAGUUGCUCU